GCUCUAUAACCCUUUGUGAACAUACCUAUAACUGUUGCUUCGGCGGGUAGGGUCUCCGCGACCCUCCCGGCCUCCCGCCUCCGGGCGGGUCGGCGCCCGCCGGAGGAUAACCAAACUCUGAUUUAACGACGUUUCUUCUGAGUGGUACAAGCAAAUAAUCAAAACUUUUAACAACGGAUCUCUUGGUUCUGGCAUCGAUGAAGAACGCAGCGAAAUGCGAUAAGUAAUGUGAAUUGCAGAAUUCAGUGAAUCAUCGAAUCUUUGAACGCACAUUGCGCCCGCCAGCAUUCUGGCGGGCAUGCCUGUUCGAGCGUCAUUUCAACCCUCAAGCUCUGCUUGGUGUUGGGGCCCUACAGCUGAUGUAGGCCCUCAAAGGUAGUGGCGGACCCUCCCGGAGCCUCCUUUGCGUAGUAACUUUACGUCUCGCACUGGGAUCCGGAGGGACUCUUGCCGUAAAACCCCCCAAUUUUCCAAAGGUUGACCUCGGAUCAGGUAGGAAUACCCGCUGAACUUAAGCAUAUCAAUAAGCGGAGGAAAAGAAACCAACAGGGAUUGCCUCAGUAACGGCGAGUGAAGCGGCAACAGCUCAAAUUUGAAAUCUGGCCCUAGGCCCGAGUUGUAAUUUGCAGAGGAUGCUUUUGGUGCGGUGCCUUCCAAGUUCCCUAGAACGGGACGCCAGAGAGGGUGAGAGCCCCGUACAGUUGGACACCAAGCCUUUGUAAAGCUCCUUCGACGAGUCGAGUAGUUUGGGAAUGCUGCUCAAAAUGGGAGGUAUAUUUCUUCUAAAGCUAAAUACCGGCCAGAGACCGAUAGCGCACAAGUAGAGUGAUCGAAAGAUGAAAAGCACUUUGAAAAGAGGGUUAAACAGCACGUGAAAUUGUUAAAAGGGAAGCGCUUGUGACCAGACUUGCGUCCGGUGAAUCACCCAGCUCUCGCGGCUGGGGCACUUCGCCGGCUCAGGCCAGCAUCAGCUCGCUGUCGGGGACAAAAGCUUCAGGAACGUAGCUCUCUUCGGGGAGUGUUAUAGCCUGUUGCACAAUACCCUUCGGCGGGCUGA
rnacentral:rRNA from 1 species